rnacentral:tRNA from 2 species
GGGCCGGUAGAUCAGCGGAAGAUCGCGCGCCUGGCGUGCGCGAGGUCCGGGGUUCGAAUCCCCGCCGGUCCA